AUAGUUGUUUUGAUCUCCUUCUGUUAAUUUCUCAGGCAACCCUGAGAAGGCUCCUCUGUUUUUCUUCACACUUUUUUUUUUUCCCAAAUAAAUGAAUCUGAAGGAGAACUCUUAUAAUUUCUAAUUCUUUUUUUCUGAUGAGUUUUGACUUUGGCAUUGGUUUGCAGCAGCCUCCUUUCUUCUGUCAAGUGCUCCUUUUCUGGGAAUGUGAACAUCUUUGCAGGAGCAGAUGAAUUCUUUGCCUCCUUUGCUCUUUCUCCUCACUCUCCCUCAUCUCUUCAGAUGGAUUCAUUUGAAGAUGAGGCCCUAGGGGAAGACUGAACCACAAGAUGGAAGAGGACUAGUUCCUUGAAUUACAGUAUGGAGGAAAGCUGCCCACCAACUGGGAACUCUUACUGUAGGUGGUUAAAUGAAUGAUAAAUAAAGCUCUAUUACAUUAA